AUUGAACGCUGGCGGCGUGCCUAACACAUGCAAGUCGAGCGGUAACGGGUGUAGCAAUACAUGCUGACGAGCGGCGGACGGGUGAGUAACGCUUGGGAAUCUGCCUAUUAGUGGGGGACAACCCGGGGAAACUCGGGCUAAUACCGCAUACGCUCUACGGAGGAAAGCCGGGGACCGCAAGGCCUGGCGCUAAUAGAUGAGCCCAAGUCGGAUUAGCUAGUUGGUAGGGUAAUGGCCACCAAGGCGACGAUCCGUAACUGGUCUGAGAGGACGACCAGUCACACCGGAACUGAGACACGGUCCGGACUCCUACGGGAGGCAGCAGUGGGGAAUAUUGGACAAUGGGGGCAACCCUGAUCCAGCGACGCCGCGUGGGUGAAGAAGGCCUGCGGGUUGUAAAGCCCUUUCGGUGGGGAAGAAAAGUCUCGACCUAAUACGUCGGGACCUUGACGUAACCCACUAAAGAAGCACCGGCUAACUCUGUGCCAGCAGCCGCCGUAAC
rnacentral:rRNA from 1 species